UACAGAGGUCCCAAGCGUUGUUCGGAUUCACUGGGCGUAAAGGGUGCGUAGGCGGUCGGGUAAGUCUGAUGUGAAAUCUCACAGCUUAACUGUGAAACUGCAUUGGAUACUAUCCGGCUCGAGGAAUGGAGGGGAGACUGGAAUACUUGGUGUAGCAGUGAAAUGCGUAGAUAUCAAGUGGAACACCAGUGGCGAAGGCGAGUCUCUGGGCUGACACUGACGCUCAUGCACGAAAGCGUGGGGAGCAAACAGG
rnacentral:rRNA from 1 species